rnacentral:rRNA from 1 species
UUGAACGCUGGCGGCAUGCCUUACACAUGCCAGUCGAACGGUAACGCGGGGCAACCUGGCGACGAGUGGCGAACGGGUGAGUAAUGCAUCGGAACGUGCCCAGAAGUGGGGGAUAGCCCGGCGAAAGCCGGAUUAAUACCGCAUGAGACCUGAGGGUGAAAGCGGGGGAUCGCAGGACCUCGCGCUUUUGGAGCGGCCGAUGUCAGAUUAGCUAGUUGGUGGGGUAAAGGCCUACCAAGGCGACGAUCUGUAGCUGGUCUGAGAGGACGACCAGCCACACUGGGACUGAGACACGGCCCAGACUCCUACGGGAGGCAGCAGUGGGGAAUUUUGGACAAUGGGCGCAAGCCUGAUCCAGCCAUGCCGCGUGCGGGAAGAAGGCCUUCGGGUUGUAAACCGCUUUUGUCAGGGAAGAAACGCUCUGGGCUAAUACCCUGGGGUAAUGACGGUACCUGAAGAAUAAGCACCGGCUAACUACGUG